GGUGAGAUGUCCGAGUGGCCGAAGGAGCACGCCUGGAAAGCGUGUAUACGGAAACGUAUCGUGGGUUCGACUCCCACUCUCACCGCCA
rnacentral:tRNA from 2 species